AAAGCAACACAUAUUAUCUGCUCGUAAAAGUGCCAGUCUCAGUGAUGUGGAGAUUGCAGCGAUCCUAAGGUUGUAUGUAGCGAAUAUUAAUCGGACAUAACUUUGUCGAAAGCGUUCUCUUUAAUCCACCAGGUCAGGGGUCAACAGAGAUGGAAUCGUUACAACUGGGAGUGAUUCCCAUCCCUAAUUUGUACUUCAACACUAUUGUGAUGAGACUAUCUUUGAAAUCUUUGUAUUUGUUCCAUUGUUGUGUGAUUUCAAUGCCGGGACUAUAAAACAAACCAUAAAAGAAGUUUGUCAAACCAGACUUAUAAUAAAGCCGGUAUCACGAGCUCGGCAACCCCCCAGUUAGUUGAUAUCAAAUUCCGGGACAGAAAAACCAACCCAUACACGGAUCUUCAUAAAUAAAAAUUUGGAGGUUUAUAUUGCGCUCAGCAAUUACUUUAUCCGCGCUCGGUUGCAGUGAAAAAUGGGAUCGGGCUCGGAAUUUGCAUAUUGGGACAGCAUUUCCAUGGAUCCCUGUAAUUAUUUAGCUCCCAUCCUGCACCCCUUCUGAGCCAAUUUACAUAAGUUCCUCGGGUGUCUCAUUCCAGCACGGUAUGCGCCAAGUCAUGAUUUUUUAUUGCAGCCCAAACUCUCUUACUUCCAACCUUCAAAGCGCGGUUUGUAAUUUGUCUUUUGGAGUCCUGUGACAUUACGAAUUAUAGAUGUCUUGUUAUUUCCUUACAUAAGACAAAAAAGAACCAUCGUAUGCAAAGACUCGGGGUUACAAGGUAUAAGCGCGGCUCUGAUCAGUGGUGAUGGAGUCCAUGAUGUUCCGUAAUGCCUGUUCAACACAACACUACAACUUGUCCACUGGCUAUUUCCUUUAUCGUAGUCGGCGAUUAACGCGGGAUUUACAUCUCGGCUAAAUGUAACCCUGUAAUCCUCGGAAAGAAGAAUUGCAGUAUUAAAUAUUUUUGUCCGACAUGAAGGGAACAUUGAUCAUGUUUAUUGCGUAAUUAUGCCGGGAAUUACCUUGAGUACUGCUGGAGUCGCUCAGUAGGUCAGCACUGGGACUCGGUGCAACCGGGUGAGGGGUGUUAAGAUCCAAGCCAUAAAUGUCACCAAUGGCCGCGCUACGUUCUGAUAUUAUACAAGAUGCAUACUACCGCUUUAGUUCUGAAAGCUUAACCUAAAUGUGGCUUGAUAAAAUGUUACUUUUUUGCUUUGUGCUUUGAGUGCGCUGGGCGUUCUGACUUGAAGGUUUUGUGUAUUUUUUUCGUUCCCUUUUGAUCCACAAACCUACGGAUGGAUUACGCCACGCAUUAACUCGUCAAAAUUGACCCGAUUUGAGGUCGACGAGAACUAGAUAUUCCGUUAAUUGGUUUGGAGACCAUCCAGUGUAGACACUUUAAGUGAAAGUCCUGUUUGACGUCGUGUGGUUGGGAGAAGUCGCGUGCUUAGUAACCAAGCAGAUGCGACUUUUAAAUUGGCGCCUUGAUUUGUCUUUCCAUAACAAUCAUCCUCUGACGAUUUCUCCGUCGCUAACGGGCCAUCACUGGAUUCGGAGGCGCUAAUCGUCAUUGUUUACAGUCCCUCGUCGCCAAUAUAUCUAAUUCCCGGGAACCGACAAACAAGCCAGCAGACUAAUGUCUUCACUUGCCGUGCAAAUCCGUCAGGAGAAAUGUACGGCCGUCACGAAGAUUUCUCGCAAUUCUCGCCUGCUGUUUCCCGCUAAUAUAUCGCUGGUUAAGCGUUUGGUUGAAUCAGAGUCCGAGCGCACGCCUCUGUGGAGACUUGCGUUUCCGAGGCUCGGAAUGGUCAUUCGUGCCUCGCGAUAAUCUCACGAGAGUUGGUUUUCCUCGACACUGAAUUCAGGAUGAGUCUGUAUUUUAGGGAACAAACGCAAGACUUCUGGCGCCCACGUCAAAACUGAAGAAUUCUUUUCCCUAAUUAUUAGAUACGUUGAGAAAAUAAAUUUAUUGAAUUUUCCAGAAGCUAUUGUUUAUGAAAUGAAUAAAACUUAAGAGGCGUCCGUUUUAAUCAAAAAGUUAUAAAUUAUAACAUUAAUCAUAUUUAACUGGAUGAGAACGUGGAUUCCAGAAUGACGGCCUUGUUACAUGUAUAAUGAAUUUUGGAGACACUUUGAUAGUGUGUAUGAACUAUCUUAAAUUAAAGAACAGUGGGAGAGCUAACUGCCUCGUCUCCGCCAUUUACAAACGCUCAACUUCUAUAAAAAGGAAGUGCACCGCAAUUCCGUAGAACUGUGUUCACAGCCGGCUGUCAACACAAAAGAAAGGACGAGAGAUUUUUCGUUUUAUCAACUGGUCUGCUUGUAUGACUUUUAUUGUUAUUUAAAACGCUACAUUAAAUUACCACAGACGUUGUUAGUUUAAUUCCGAGGCGAAUUCCGGAAUAGUUCAUUCCUUUCUUCCGAGCGGCGGCACAGUCUGUAUUUUACUUGAUACGAAAAUUGCAAAUACAACGUUUUCUUUUAAAAUGUAACAAUGAUCAAAAAUAUUUUAAUUAACUCUUUUUCUGCAUCUUAAAUUACAGUUAGCGAGGAACUGCGCGUCCUGGAAGACUUUGUGUCUUUUUCCACGUGCAGCAAGAGGAUGCAAGGACGAUAUUAUUCAACAUAAACCAAUAUUUAAUUGCAAUAAACCGUGCGCUUUAAAUUUCGUCAGCAUUUGUAACGAAGCAUUAAAAUUUCCGGCGGUUUUUUUCUCUGAUGUUCAUGUUAUUUUCUUGGGUAAUAAACUUGAUUUGCAUUG
rnacentral:sRNA from 1 species